rnacentral:rRNA from 1 species
UACGGGGGGUGCGAGCGUUGUCCGGAAUCACUGGGCGUAAAGGGCGCGUAGGUGGUUUGAUAAGGGUGUGGUGAAAGUCCGGGGCUCAACCCCGGAUCUGCCGUGCCGACUGUCAAACUCGAGGACUGUAGAGGCAGACGGAGUUCCGGGUGUAGCGGUGGAAUGCGUAGAGAUCCGGAGGAAGACCGGUGGCGAAGGCGGUCUGCUGGGCAGUUUCUGACACUGAGGCGCGACAGCGUGGGGAGCAAACAGG